rnacentral:tRNA from 1 species
GCGUUGUUAGCUCAGCCGGACAGAGCAAUUGCCUUCUAAGCAAUCGGUCAGUGGUUCGAUCUCCACUACAACGCGCCA